rnacentral:rRNA from 1 species
AUGCUUUUAGACCAAUCUCUACAAAACUGCACCCCAAAAGCAGUGUCCAAGGUUCUCACAAACAGAGUAAAACCCCUUAUUCCACUUCUCAUUCACUACGGCCAAAUAGGGUUCCUCCACGGUCGCAACAUUACCGAAAACUUUAUUUAUGCAGCAGACAUCCUCAGCGCUUGCCACACAAGAAAACCCCCCACCAUGGUCAUCAAGCUUGAUUUCAGAAAAGCUUUCGACUCCAUUUGUUGGUCCUCUCUCAUAUCUAUCUUACAAGCAAGGGGUUUCCCUCCAAUCUUCUGUGCAUGGGUACAAAACAUUCUUCAGACUGGCAAAACGGCUAUUCUCCUAAAUAGAAAUCCGGGGUCCUGGAUCCAAUGUAGAAGUGGCCUUCGACAAGGUGAUCCCUUCUCGUCGUACUUGUUCAUCAUUGUAGCAGAUGUCCUCCAAAGAUUGAUCGCACAGGCGUUCCGACAGAACGAAUUAUGUCACCCCCUCCGCCCGAAUGAACCACCAGCAUGA